AUCUAUUCCAUAAGAAUUAUCAGCUAUGACACAUGUAAUAUGUUUGAAUUUGCCAGAUGCGGAAUGAGAACACUAGCAAAUAAUCAUUGUCUGAUUUCCUCAGGGCAUCAAUAAAUUACAGCUCCUUUGAGAGAGUGCAAAGGUGAAGAAACAAAAAACCUGUGGUUUAGCUUAUUUUCAUGAAAAAUUAAAAAAAAAAAACAAAAACAAAAAACUUAUUUCUGUGGCUUCAGUGGAGCACAGGUGACAUGAUGAAAAUAACCUCCUGGUGUAUCAGCAGCUGGAGACCCAUUGGAAAACCUGAUACUUAUUUGACAGAAAUGAUAAGCGGUUGUAGUUACUAUGGAAGUUAACAAAAACUGUAUCGCAGAUCACCAACUAACAACAUGAGGAGUGGUACUAUGGAAAGUAAAAAGAAACAAAGGAGCUCAAAAGUUACAGAAGAAAUCUAAACUAAAAUUGCUGCAGCACUGGACAACCGCUUAGGUCAGAUGCAACUUGACCAGAGAUGGACAAGGUCAGAUCUGGCAGUCUCCCAGCACAUGCAGAGUAGAAUUCAGGACAGGAACCAUGACAUCACAUAGCAGUGAAACUCUUUUAAUGCUGAAGAUAAAGAACCUCAGAGAAAGGAGCUGGAGUUGUUCAGCCUGGAGAAGGCUCCAGGGAGACCCCAUGUGGCCCCUCAGUACCUGAAGGGGCCUACAUAAUAGAUGGGUGGGGACUUCUUACCAGGGUAAGAACACAACAAGGUUUUAAAAUAAAAGAAGGCAGACUUACA
rnacentral:lncRNA from 1 species